CAGCAGUGGGGAAUAUUGCACAAUGGGGGAAACCCUGAUGCAGCGACGCCGCGUGGAGGAAGAAGGUCUUCGGAUUGUAAACUCCUGUUGUUGAGGAAGAUAAUGACGGUACUCAACAAGGAAGUGACGGCUAACUACGUGCCAGCAGCCGCGGUAAAACGUAGGUCACAAGCGUUGUCCGGAAUUACUGGGUGUAAAGGGAGCGCAGGCGGGAAGACAAGUUGGAAGUGAAAUCCAUGGGCUCAACCCAUGAACUGCUUUCAAAACUGUUUUUCUUGAGUAGUGCAGAGGUAGGCGGAAUUCCCGGUGUAGCGGUGGAAUGCGUAGAUAUCGGGAGGAACACCAGUGGCGAAGGCGGCCUACUGGGCACCAACUGACGCUGAGGCUCGAAAGUGUGGGUAGCAAACAGGAUUAGAUACCCUGGUAGUCCACACCGUAAACGAUGAUUACUAGGUGUUGGAGGAUUGACCCCUUCAGUGCCGCAGUUAACACAAUAAGUAAUCCACCUGGGGAGUACGACCGCAAGGUUGAAACUCAAAGGAAUUGACGGGGGCCCGCACAAGCAGUGGAGUAUGUGGUUUAAUUCGACGCAACGCGAAGAACCUUACCAAGUCUUGACAUCCUGCGACGGUGCUGGAAACAGAACUUUCCUUCGGGACGCAGAGACAGGUGGUGCAUGGUUGUCGUCAGCUCGUGUCGUGAGAUGUUGGGUUAAGUCCCGCAACGAGCGCAACCCUUAUGGUCAGUUACUACGCAAGAGGACUCUGGCCAGACUGCCGUUGACAAAACGGAGGAAGGUGGGGAUGACGUCAAAUCAUCAUGCCCUUUAUGACUUGGGCUACACACGUACUACAAUGGCGUUAAACAAAGAGAAGCAAGACCGCGAGGUGGAGCAAAACUCAGAAACAACGUCCCAGUUCGGACUGCAGGCUGCAACUCGCCUGCACGAAGUCGGAAUUGCUAGUAAUCGUGGAUCAGCAUGCCACGGUGAAUACGUUCCCGGGCCUUGUACACACCGCCCGUCACACCAUGAGAGCCGGGGGGACCCGAAGUCGGUAGUCUAACCGCAAGGAGGACGCCGCCGAAGGUAAAACUGGUGAUUGGGGUGAAGUCGUAACAAGGUAGCCGUAGGAGAACCUGCGGCUG
rnacentral:rRNA from 1 species